UCUCUAAGCUGCCAGCGGUCCUUCUGUACUCUCCGCCUGUAAUUAAAGAUUCUUUCUAUUUUUACCAAGUUCCCCUACUCCUGAAUUUUGGUUUCUGAACUUGGUAAGAAAUAUAGUAGCUCUGUUAUGUUUUCCAGGGGCAGGAAUAGGAAGGAACCCCUGAAGAAGUCAAAGCUUCAGAUCAACUAUUUUUAGUUCCCUCUGUCCGUUUACCUAUUCGUUUUUUGGUUUGUUUUUGUUUUUUAGUGCUGUGGCCUAUGGAGUUCAGUUUUAAUCACAUCUGAGUGAAAAUGAUUUUCCUAUUCUGUGGUUACUGGAUCCUACAGUAACUUCCUAGCAGGAAUAAAGUGGUCUUUCAUUGCAAAGCUGGGGCAAGCCAAGUUUGUCUAGAGAAAUUCUCCCUACCAGCUAAAGUCUCUUUUUUUCUGCAACCAAUACGUGUACUGGCAAAUGAAGGCAUUCUUCUCAUUCUGGGUUAUUCGUGAGCUCUUUCCAUAGGGUAAUCAAAGCAAUUAGCUGGCCAGAAAGACAGCAGCGCUCAUCACUGUUACAUAUCAUGUCUACAUGAUUCAAGCAGGAAAGCCACUUGCCACUUCCUGUCCAAGGGGACACAGAAAGAAUCAAGACAAAAGUCUCCUCCUCUGCUUUUCCUGUUUUAACAAGAUCAAAUGGCUUGCUGACUACGGCUUGGCAAAACAAAGCGGUUUAGAAAGCCAGGGUGUGAAGAUCAGAAACACAGCGUUAGUGUCACUUGGGGGAGCGCGGGGAUGGGUCAUGGUGGGCAUUGAUUACUGACCCGUCACUUAAAGGACCUUCUUUACUGGAUCAUGGACAAGGUGGUUUUAGAAUGGAAACAGAAAAGACAGAAAGAAUUAUUGGUGACAGAGCCGAGAAUUCCGAGGCUUCACUCGUGCAUAUGCAGCGUCAUGAGCCGCACGUUUGAAAUCGCACUCCACACCCACUUCAAAUGGGAACACGCAGGUGACGGCCAUGCAGCUGAAGGGGCCAGAGGAGACAGGCCAGCCCCAGCAGUAGCUGCAGCAGACAUUCCAAAGGCACAGCUCAAAAGGAAACCAGAAAAAUGCAGUGCCUACGAGGGACACAAGUCGUCGGACAGGCUGCAGUGUGGGGUCAUCUAUUAUCAGUCCGGCUGCUACCAUGGGCAUUAUGGCUGUAAACAUCCUGGUUAGAAAAGUACAGAUAGACACAGAGAAGAUAAAAACAGGGGCGGCAUGAAAAAGAAACACACUCCACAGACAGGUCAGCCGAAGGGUUUGCUUAUGGUUGAUGUGGAAUUAUGGCCCCCAGUGCCCCCCAUUCAUAGUUGGAAAAGUCCUAACUCCCAGGAGCUCAGAAUGUCCCUUAUUUAUUUAUUUAUUGAAUGUCACCUUAUUUAGAAAGAGAAUCCUUGUAGAUGUAACUAGUUUUGGUGAGGUCAUACCGGAGUGGGGCGGCCCUAAUCCAAUACAACUGGUGUCCUUAUAAAAGGGGGAAAUUUGGACACGGACAUGCACACAGGAAGAAGGCCAUGUGAAGGUGGAGGCAGAGAUUGGGGUGAUGCUUCUACAAGUGAACAAAGGCCAAAGAUUGUCAGCAAACCACUAGAAGCUUGGAGAGAGGCGUGGAGCAGAUUCUCCCUCAUGGCCCUCAGAAGGGAUUGACACUGCCAACACCUUGAUCUUGGACUUGUAGCUUCUAGGAACUGUGAGGCUAUACAUCUCUAUUGUUUUUUGUAUUUUUUUGGCCGUGCCACUUGGCUUGUGGGAUCUUAGUUCCCUGACCAGGGAUUGAACCCGGGCCCUCGGCAGUGAAAGCGUGGAGUCCUAACCACUGGACCGCCAGGGAAGUCCCUAUCUCUGUUGUUUAAGCCAACUCAGUUUUUGGUACAACAGCCCUAGCAAACGGAUACAGCGUGUGAUAACCACGUAGGGAAGACAGGGUGGCCUCAAGGGCUGAAAACGCAGGCCCGGGUGUGGGGAAGGAAGUGUCAAAACCUGUUGUGGGAUUACUCUUGGGUGUCUUCCAGCACGUCUCCCCCAGCUGCCAUGAGCUGCAGGCUAUGUGCCCUGAAGGCAGCCAGGGGAGACCCAGGAGAGAAGGUGAGGCAGCCAGGAUGGGCCGGGCAGGAGACAGCCUGCAUCGUCACCCGCCUGGUGCCUUGCUGCAGGAGCUGCCUGCUCUAGAGGGACAGCCACUUCCGUGAAAAAAGACUGGCUUGUUUUGGGCAAAAGUUGUCUCCUGGAUACGAUGUAGCUGGUUUCAAACUCCCCUGAGCCCCUGCCACCACCCCGCCCUGCGACAAAUUAUUUCUGGAAGACUCAAACCAAAUGAAGUUCUAACAGUGGCAUUUCAGGCAGUGUGAUGGGCGGCUGUAAAGAAGCUAUUUCUGGGCUGCAGUGAGCAGGGCGGUGGGUAGGGGGACAGGGAGAGAAUGCCCUGCUGUUGCUACCGUCGGGUACUUGGGUGGCUGCCUGCUCGAGGCCAACCUUUCCAGUAUGUGAGGCCAGUUGUUCUGAUCGCAGCUUCCCUGGCUGUGCCUCUGCGCCCCCUGCCAGCUGCCUGCCUCUCAGGUCAGCCCCCCGCCCCUGCUCAGCAGCGAGCAGCUGUGUGUAUACCUGUCAGCCCGGGAUUGAGAGCCGGGCACCACACAAAGGGGGCUCUGGUGCCUGGUGUCCACUGGGGAUGAGGCUGGAGCCACUCAGGCGCUCCCUCGUGACCUGCCCAGCCAGUGCCAACCCAGACUGGCCAGCAGCUGCUCAGUCACAAGCUAUUCUUGGAAGGUUUUCUGGGCACACUGUUUUGACAGGCGGCAGAAGUUUCUGGUUCCCUUGACCAGUUCAGCCCAGAAAUGUAGACUCUGGUGGCUCUGGCUGGUGGUGCAUUUGAGAGAUAAGGGAACUGGGCAGCCAGCCCACAGCUGGUGACUCGGGAAAUGGGGUGAGGAAAAGGGGGGUGGGGAGGCCGAACGAGACAGCUGGGGCAAGCACUGUCUUGUCUUGGCCAGGAGGCAAUCAAAAGGCAUGGGUUCCAAUCCCGACUUCGAUCCAUCCAGCAAGGUGAUCACAGUGAAGUCAGUGGGCUUCCCUGGGCCCCAGUUUCCUCAUCUGAGAAAUGGGGCUAAUCCCAGCUCUGAAUCUCUGACAGGGUGGAAGGUACCCUAGUUCAAGUGCUCCAAGCCGGUGAAGCCCUUUCGAACCUCCAUGGUAGCUACUGCUUACUUACUGGAGGGUGGGGAAAGGUGGUCGAGGGCGAGAAGCUGAGCUGGAGCACAGCUGUGAGCUGCACUAAAGAGGCUGUGUGACUAAUACUCCAUAAAAGCAAGGACAAAGGGACCAGACAGACCCAGACGGGUGCCCGAGAGUGAAGGAUGGAGAGGGAGACAGGCAUGGAACCGUCUUAAGAACUGUCAUUCCCUUGCCCCGGUCCCCAGGGAAGAUCCAUCCCUGCCCCAGGCUCUGAGCUUCUGGCCACACUGAUGCAGCUUCCGGUCAGUGGCCGAGGUGGACAAAGUGACCAGUGUCCUGUCUGGGCUGGUCAAAAGCCUUCUGUGCCAUCUGGAUCUUCCACUUACCCCCUACAAGGCCGGGGCGGCCAUGGGACUGGCCACCUGCACCCCGUGGACGAGAGAUUCUGAAUUCUCUCUCCCUCUCUGUCUCUGACUCCCAGAUUCCAUCUGCUUCUCCUGCUGGGCUCAGAACCCCAGGUCUUGCUGAGCAACCAGAGGCCAAACUGAAGGGGAGAAGGGUUUGAGAACAGGGCCCCAGGGUCCUUUCUGGAACAAUCUGGAAAAGAGGACCAGACACCACAGCCUACUCGUGUGUGGGUAGAAGAACUAGUGGGAAAAACACUGUUGGUUAAUUCUGACAACUUUCCUCUGGAUUUUACCCAGUUUGAGAUUUGCAAAAACCAACUCUUAAGUACCUGUUUCAGAGAAAGGGGGCUGGAGUGGAAAACUAGGAAGUCAGAACAUCCCCGCUUCAGAAGGAAGUCUUAGAAUUACAUAUGACUUGGAAUUACAGUGCCAGAGAUGCUGUAAACGCAGCACACUUGGAGCAGAGAUGCUAGAAAUGUCUGAUUGUUAAAGGGAAGGAACUGCUGAAAGAAGAAGAUAGAUGCUGGUCUCUUGGUCUCACCCCUCCCUUAGCUAAGGGAGGAACUGUGUGGGCUCAUGAACUUAUUGUCAAUUUCCCCAGGUUUCAACCCAAAGCAUUUAAGGUCACUUCUGCUCAUCCUUACAUGCAAGUGGGGCUGGUGGACAGAUCAGGGUCUAAGCGAAGUCAAUCCCAUUUCUUAGCAAGCACUGGAUGGGAAACCCUAACCAAGGAUACUGAGUACAUCAUAGAAUUGAGACCAAAGGGCUCCCUCUCCCCCAGGAUGAGGCUACAGUGGACGCCGGUUACUUCCGUCUGCUCAGCAAACUGAUCUUGCUUGGGGUCUGUCCUUCCCCAAAUCCCUGUCCAUGGGAACUGGAUAGAGUUAAAGCUACUCUAAGUUUCAGGCGUGAGAAUGAGACCCAGACCAGACCUAUGGAUGCACUGCCCUGUGGGGUGAUCAUGUGACCCAGUCAGAGCCAAGGAGACUCAAUUCUGUGACUUCUGUGGGAGAUUCUCUCCUCCCACUGGAGUUCCAGACAAGAAAGCAGAAGCCUGAGCUGAUGGCGGCCAUACUGCCACCCUGAGGGGACAGCACGCCCAAGAAUACAGCCCACGGAAAGGAAAACAGGUUGAGGCAGACGGAACCAGGCAGAGCCCUGAGAACAAGACCUGGGUCCGGCUGAGCCUGAAGCCAGGAUGACCCGAAAAUCUCUAGUUGCUUGGCCAACAGUUUUUCUUUCUUUAAAUUACUUUGAGUUGCGUUUCAAGGGCCAGUGGGAGAUUACAAACUAAUACGUGGCCAACAUGGUGUUGGGACCCAGAGGAAGCCUAUCUGAUUCCAAGCUUCACCCCCAGGAAAUAUUUAUCCCUAACCAGAACUGGGGACCACAGCCCCUCCCAAAUCCAGCGGAUCUGCUUGACCGAGGGCCAAGCAAACAAGCAACGUGAAGCUGGCAGGAGAGGCUUGGAAAGGAGCCACGUGUUAAUCCACACACUCCAGGGGGCGGCUAGCCUUUCCCAGGGCCCGGUAUCUGAGCAAGUCGCCCCUUUCUAAGAGCAGAGGGUCCAGCAGUUACACACAUUUUGCGUUCCCUUCCUAUCCCCCAAAACCGUGGAUUACGUCAAUUCACAGGACAAGAAGUAGCCAAGAAUUUCCAAACAAAAGUGGAAUUUAAAGGUUGAGGCGGGGCUUCCCUGGUGGCGCAGUGGUUGAGAGUCCGUCUGCUGAUGCAGGGGACACGGGUUCGUGCCCUGGUCUGGGAAGACCCCACAUGCCGCAGAGCGGCUGGGCCCGUGAGCCAUGGCCGCUGAGCCUGCGCGUCCGGAGCCUGUGCUCCGCAACGGGAGAGGCCACAACAGUUAGAGGCCCGCGUACCACAAAAAAAAAAAAAAGGGCUGAGGCAUCCGAGUAACACCCCAGUUCCUCUCCCCACACACCCCAGUUGGCUUUCCAACCCAUGCCACUCGCCUUCACAAAGCUUCUACCAGGGUUUGGGGGGAAGAACCGAAGCCUCUUCUCUAAGAAGGUGCAAGGCUGAGAGUCAGGAAGACCCUCUCAGGGGACAAAAUGAGGCCCCAAGACAACUGGGAGCAGAAGGCCCUCCUGCAGAGUUUGAAACGUGGGCUCUGGGCCAGGCUGCCUGGGUUCGAACCCUGGCUCUGCCUCUUACUAGCUGUAUGACCCUAGGCAGGUGAUUGACUUCAGUGCCUCAGUUUCCUUAACUGUAAAAUGGGGAUGACAGUGCCCUCACCUCACAGGGCUAUGGUGAGGACUCUGCCAUUAUCUGCAGGAACGGUACCCGGCAGAUAGGUUCUUAGUAGAUAUUAGCACAUAGUAGGUUCUUACUAGAUAUUAGCUAACUAGACCAGAGCUUUAACCCUUUAUCUGAAGGGCUACAGGGGUCAACGAACCUAAAACUGUUUGCAAGACUGUAUGACUCCACCCUCACACACCCCCCACCCCCACCGCCGCUGAAAGGGUCUGCAAACUCUCAUUCAAAUCUCAAAGGAGUCUUUUGAUGCAAGGACUCCGAAGUAGCUUGAAGUCUAGUGGAGGGCUAGGACUAGGCCGCGCUUUCUCUCGUGUGUCCCCCACAGCCACCAGGGCCCAGUGCUGCUUGUAUUAUGCACCAAUGAAUACUUAAUGGAGAGACAGAUGGACAGGUGAAGUCAUCACAGAAAAGCAUAUAUGGGGUGGACCCGCGGCCAUUCAGACACCUCGGAGCUGGGGUUUCAAGGCCUUAAGAUGCGUGAACCUUUCCCACCAUGCAAUAUUUGCUGUCCUCAAAGACAUGCCCCGACUGACACACUCAAGCAAGCCCAGGCCCCAGCCCUUUCCCACCCCCUAGGCCUUCCCCAAACCUCUCUGCCCAGGGACCCCCCGCAAGGAGGAACUCAGCCUUCAAUGUACAGAGGUGACUCUGCAGUCAAGGGCCAGGCCCAGCGUGCCCCGGGCGUAGGCCGAGCCCCGCGGGAGGUGGUUAGUAACAAGCCCAGCCCUGGAGCAGGUGCCCAGGAGAAGUGAGAGGCCGUGUGAGCCGCCAGCUCAGCCGCGAGCGAGCAGCCCCAGACGCCGGGAGCGCAGCACUUACAGUCGCUUGAUCCCAGACUCCGGCUGGGGGGACAUUCUCGGGUGGGUGACGGGUGGAGGUUGGGGUAUUCGAUUUUCCUCUUCUAUUUCUU